rnacentral:rRNA from 1 species
CCUACGGGAGGCAGCAGUGAGGAAUAUUGGUCAAUGGACGAGAGUCUGAACCAGCCAAGUAGCGUGAAGGAUGACUGCCCUAUGGGUUGUAAACUUCUUUUAUAUGGGAAUAAAAUGUUCCACGUGUGGGAUUUUGUAUGUACCAUAUGAAUAAGGAUCGGCUAACUCCGUGCCAGCAGCCGCGGUAAUACGGAGGAUCCGGGCGUUAUCCGGAUUUAUUGGGUUUAAAGGGAGCGUAGGUGGAUUGUUAAGUCAGUUGUGAAAGGUUGCGGCUCAACCGUAAAAUUGCAGUUGAAACUGGCAGUCUUGAGUACAGGAGAGGUGGGCGGAAUUCGUGGUGUAGCGGUGAAAUGCUUAGAUAUCACGAAGAACUCCGAUUGCGAAGGCAGCUCACUGGACUGCAACUGACACUGAGGCUCGAAAGUGGGGGUAUCAAACAGGAUUAGAUACCCUUGUAGUC